GGAGGCGAACGGAUGGAGCGGGAUGGAUGGCCACGACGGGGACGGCCGAGGUCGUGGGCUGCAGGAGCGAGCAUGGAGGGCGGCGGCGCGCCGGCUUGAGAAGGUCAUCCACAGGCGGCUGGGCUCAAGAUCUUCUUCUCCGGGCACUCGGCAGGAGGCAUCCGUCUCGGGUCAUGGGGAGCCGCCGCUAGCCCCAUCCCUUCUCCUCCCGCGCCCCUUUCUCUGUCACCGACCUCGCGCUGCUGCUCUGGUCGACCUCUUCCUCCUCCUUUGUGCUCACCAGGUGAAGCACGAACAGCCGGUGCCGAACGCUCAAGCAGAUUUGUUUCUCUACGUCUACAUUGUGUUGGAUGAAAUCCCAAUGAGACUGAUUGAUCUAUAUAAGCCAUGUGAGUUCUACAAAAUCAUAAGAAGAAUACAUGGGCUACUAUUUCAGUUAAAUAUUUGAUGUGCUAAAACAAUAAUGUGGAGAGAACUCGUUUCUCCAAUGAAAAAUAAUAGCUCAAGAAGGUGAUUUCAGAUCUUCCUUGUGAGGUACUUCAAAAAGAUGCCAAUGAUGCACAAUGAGGAGAUGCUUGGGCCUUGUGGCGUGCCUACGGCAGCAGCUCCCCUGGCAGUGCGGUGUUCUCAGCUGGAUUAGGGCGACCUUGCUAGCAAACUCGCCAUCUCUUUCCCUAGGUAGUGUUUCUCUGCUCGGGUGUCAUUGUCAUCGACGGGCCUCUCAACUGUCUCGAGAUCCAGACUCAUCCAACUCGCCGCCGUUUUUAUGGGUGAGUAAUUUCAGGGAAACUAACCAUGCCCUGAAAAUAGGUUGCUAAAGUUUUU